GAGUUUGAUUCUGGCUCAGAACGAACGCUGGCGGCGCGUCUUAAGCAUGCAAGUCGAACGGCAAGAGAGGAGCUUGCUUCUCUCCUAGAGUGGCGGACUGGUGAGGAACACGUGGGUAAUCUACCCUUAAGAUGGGGAUAGCUGCUAGAAAUAGCAGGUAAUACCGAAUACACUCAGUGCUUCAUAAGGGGUAUUGAGGAAAGGAAGCUACGGCUUCGCUUGAGGAUGAGCUUGCGUCCCAUUAGCUUGUUGGUGAGGUAACGGCCCACCAAGGUGACGAUGGGUAUCCGGCCUGAGAGGGUGAACGGACACAUUGGGACUGAGAUACGGCCCAAACUCCUACGGGAGGCAGCAGCUAAGAAUAUUCCGCAAUGGACGGAAGUCUGACGGAGCGACGCCGCGUGGAUGAAGAAGGCUGAAAAGUUGUAAAAUCCUUUUGUUGAUGAAGAAUAAGGGUGAGAGGGAAUGCUCAUCUGAUGACGUAAUCGACGAAUAAGCCCCG
rnacentral:rRNA from 1 species